GACGAACGCUGGCGGCGUGCCUAAUACAUGCAAGUUGAGCGCUGAAGGUUGGUACUUGUACCAACUGGAUGAGCAGCGAACGGGUGAGUAACGCGUGGGGAAUCUGCCUUUGAGCGGGGGACAACAUUUGGAAACGAAUGCUAAUACCGCAUAAAAACUUUAAACACAAGUUUUAAGUUUGAAAGAUGCAAUUGCAUCACUCAAAGAUGAUCCCGCGUUGUAUUAGCUAGUUGGUGAGGUAAAGGCUCACCAAGGCGAUGAUACAUAGCCGACCUGAGAGGGUGAUUGGCCAAAAUGGGACUGAGACACGGCCCAAACUCCUACGGGAGGCAGCAGUAGGGAAUCUUCGGAAAUGGACGAAAGUCUGACCGAGCAACGCCGCGUGAGUGAAGAAGGUUUUCGGAUCGUAAAACUCUGUUGGUAGAGAAGAAAGUUGGUGAGAGUGGAAAGCUCAUCAAGUGACGGUAACUACACAGAAAGGGACGGCUAACUACGUG
rnacentral:rRNA from 1 species